rnacentral:lncRNA from 1 species
GAUGAAAAAAAAAUGUUUUAGAGAGGUUAAUGUUGUAAUAUAGAAGAUUUUCGCUUUCUGUUGAUUAACAGUUUCUAUAAUUUUUUUAAGAAAAAAAAUCUGGAAAAGUCCAAGUCCUUUGUUAAUCUAAUCUCGUUCCAAUCUCUCACAUCCAUUUAAAGGGUCUAUUCUUUACUCCUUUCAGUUGCUGCCCCCUUACUGAUAACAAGGAUAACUAAGGAUAGUACCAAAAGAAAAAAACGCUAAAUACUGAAAUAGGUCGAAUCACACUGAAACGGGUAGGUUCUUCCAGGCAGACCAAAUCGCAAAUACAUAUCCGAAAAUUCGAGUAAACGGCCUUGCCUCGGUUUUACAGUAUGGACUAAACAUUCGCUCAUCCAAACGUAUUGCGCCUUAGCAGCCAUAGUCAUGACUAGCUUUCAAUAGAAAAAAGACAAACGAAACAGAGUCAUGAAAUUCGUAGCGUAGAUGUAAGUUAGAAAAAUUUCAAAUUUCUUUAUUUUUUGGUCUUCUGAUAACCCACUAUCCCACUAUCGUUUGUCCAUUUAUUCCUUGCCCGAUCAUGUGGCUGUUUGCUUUGAAUCUAAAAUUGGAUAGAAAAUAGUUCAUUCGAAAGAUUAGCGAAACUACGAAACAAGGUGCGAUCGUCGUUGUGCUCGGUAGCAAGAUGAGUUUGUUUUUUAGUAUAAUUUAGGUAGCUGCCAGCCUCGUUUCGUCAACUUAGCUAAAUUCGUUGAGUCUGACUCAUUGAAUGUAGGUAAAAUGGCUCAUCUAAAUCGAAACAAGUUGAAUCGAGUACAGCCUUAGUCAAAUCAAAUAAUGCCAAGAUGAAAAAAGUCGAGCCUUUGCCAAUAUAAUUUUAUGCGAUGUAAUGGAAUUCUUUGCCUGAUUUUUAGGCUCUUUGUAUUUUCUUUUAAAACACGGAAAAUUCUAAAACUGGUAACCACUUUUAUUAUCGUUAAAUGAUGGAAAUCAAUGGUUUUUUAGCUCCUUUUUUCGGUUGAUUCAAGUGUAACAAAUUGUCCAAAGAAGGGAGUGGUUCCUCUUGUGUCUCGGUUUUCCCGCUGCCUUGUUGCCCAAGCAAAUCAUUGAAAACAGUCUCCGACGUCUUUGCUCCGACAGGUUCCAAAACUUCAUGUGUUCGGCGAUAUGUACGUUGAACACGUUGCUUUCCCGGAAUUAACAAUUCAGUAGAGAAAGUGUCAAUCAUUUGAGACCCUCGAACUUCUCUCUCAUAAUACACUGCGUCGGGAUUUUGCUUGGAAAAUGCGUUCCAAGUUUCUUCCACCAAUGAUUCAUCCCCCGCAUACUUUUGAGACAUGUGAGUAAUGGCUCGUAUGAUGGGUGCCGUUAUCCCCAUAAGCUUCAAAUACACUACAAUGCUCAAUUUGUUAGCCACACAUGCUGAAGUUACUUUUAGCAUUGCCCUUUGCAAACGAUGCUCACUAGAAUAUGUUCGAGCAACAUUGAAAAGAUGCCAACGUUGGCACAACGUCUCCAAUCGUGGAAGCAAAUCUUGGCGAAUCCUAGAUGUCAUAAAAUCAUCUGCAAGGGCGCAAACUUGAUAUAUAGUUUCUAAUGCGCAUUCUACUAGCAGUUCGUUAUCCGUGUCAAGCUGAAUAACGACCAAUGGCCAAAAUGUAUUAAUAGCAGGAUAAAAUGUGUUUGGCUCCUUAGCCAAAACAUUGCUUCCAUAGCUCAACAAUUUUAACAUUUCCACUCGUAUCGUAAUUUGUUCAUGUGAUAAGAAUAACUGCGCCUUUUCCGUGAUUUUCCUUACCAUAUCGACGACAUCAUCUUUUUGCUUUUCUCCUUGUUCGUCCAUAACAUUACUAUUUAUGUUUUCAUGAUCAACUGUGGUCUCACCCAUAUUUUCAUUUUCUUUGCCCUUCUUUUCUUUUUCCUUCAUUGCAUGUUCGCGAAACUGUUCAUGUCCACUUUUCGUUUCUUGUUGUUCAUCGUGUAUCAUAUCCUCUAGUUCAUGAUCAUCUUUUGGAAGAGGAUAAUUAGGGUUCUCUAAUAGUAGUUGAACGAAUUCGCGAAUCUUUUUACAUGGCUUAUUUUUAUCCUCGUUCAUUGCGUCCUCCUCCACCCCGACGAUGAGCUUUUUCUCCUCGCCAUUUAUACUUUCUUGCUUUAUUAUGGCAUAAAGAAUUCCAAGCAACCCUUCUGUAAGCCGUGCGUAACCAUGGUAAGCAUCCAAAAUCCCAAAAAUAGCAUCCACUACAUCUCCAAUGUACCGAAUGCAUCCUCCAUCGUCAUUCUUUAUUACAUAAGCCAUCACAAUUGGAAGUUGAGGUGAUACGUCUAAUGUGUUCAAUUUGAGGGCAACUGAGUUGACCACAUAGUCAAUAUUUUCUCUAAGUAACUCUGCUGGCGUCGAGUAGUUGCAAUUUGUCGCAAUUGCUUGAAUACAUGCCUCUGCAAACGAAGAUACAUAAGGAGAAGCAAACGCCAAAUGUUCAAGGAGAGGAUAAAAAUAUGCCAUUAAUUUUGAUCGAAACUUUACUCCUUGUAAAGAAGAAAUCCAGCUAAUGCUGUCAAUAGCAAUGCAAGAACGAACACACAAAAGAUUAUACUUUUCCUUUUUCUGCUUAUCCUCCAACGAUGCUUUCGUAAAGACAUUUAAUUGCGAUAAUUGUUGCAAUACUUCGAAUGAAUAUUGCUCUAAUGAAUCAAUAUACAUUUCCAAACUGUCCACCGUUUCUACGUCACUUUUCAAAAGUACCAUAAAUGCCCAAAAUGCACGAACCGAGUUUUCAUUUGUUGCUGAGGUAGCCUUAGAAAGUAAGGACUGCAUAACAUAUUUAACAUUAGGUGCCUUUGCGAAGCUUGUAACAAUCUCUUGUGUUGUUCUUUCCAUCUCAUUUCCACCAAAAAAUUCACCAUGGAUGUACUCAUUCGAAGUACUGGAUGUUAAAAGCUUCUGCGAAUUGGAAUCAAUUCCCGAUGACUUUGGUACAAGUUGGCUGAGUAUACCAUCCAGUAAAGGCUCCAUGAGCUGCAAAGUCUUAGGAAGAUGACUGGAUAUACUUAAGAGACUUUUCAAUCGGUUCAACUCCUCCAAUUUAUUAUCUUCUGAAGCAAAAGUGGAAACACUAGACCAUGUAGUAGACCAAUCAUUUAGGCAUUCAGUUAAUACUGAUUCCAUAGUAAUAUUGUUGAAUGAUUCAAUGAGAGAAACGAGUUUGUUCAUCCCAUAGUCCCUUAAUUUUGGAUUUUCUUUUUUAUUGAUCAAUUUUAGCAUGCUCUCUAGUAAAUGAAUCCUACAAUCUUUUAGUGAAUCUAAACAAUCUCUAAAUAGGAUAAAGCAAAAAUCAAAUAAAGCAUCUUGUACAUGUAAGUUUUGUGAAGAACGAAGGUG